rnacentral:rRNA from 1 species
CGCCUUGCCACGCCCGCUACAGAAACUUAAAGGAAUUGACGGACCCCGCACAAGCGGUGGAUCAUGUUGUUUAAUUCGAUGAUACGCGAAGAACCUUACCAGGUCUUGACAUCCCCCGCGAUGCUUUAGAGAUAAAGCGGAGGUAUUCGGGGAGACAGGUGGUGCAUGGUUGUCGUCAGCUCGUGUCGUGAGAUGUUGGGUUAAGUCCCGCAACGAGCGCAACCCCUAUUGCUAGUUACCAUCAUUAAGUUGGGGACUCUAGCGAGACUGCCAGUGAUAAACUGGAGGAAGGUGGGGAUGACGUCAAAUCAUCAUGCCCCUUAUGACCUGGGCUACAAACGUGAUACAAUGGCUGGAACAAAGGGAUGCGAAGCAGUGAUGUGGAGCGAAACCCAUAAAAACAGUCUCAGUUCGGAUUGAAGUCUGCAACUCGACUUCAUGAAGUCGGAAUCGCUGGUAAUCGCGGAUCAGAACGCCGCGGUGAAUACGUUCUCGGGGUUU